rnacentral:lncRNA from 1 species
AGAAAUGAGAUUUGGGGAACAAAGUCAAUUGAUGCGCUCUUAAAGGGAGAAGACAGGAGCUUUGCGCUUAGAGAAGUCCCUUGGCCGGACAGAGCGCAUCUUCUUUUGCUCAUUUUUCAGGGCCUUGCCUUGUUGGCCUACCAAAUAAACAGGCUUUUUUUGAUUGAUUCGCUUACGGGUCAUUAACUAAAGACCUUGAAGUCGUGACCCAUGAGCUAGCUGAGGAAAGCGAUAUCGCGCGUAGACAUCAAGCCGUAGCGCGCGAACCAGCAACCCCUCUUUAUGAUGCUUUCCACUCUUUCGAGAGGAUUCAGUUAUUGAGUCGGUGAGCUGAUCUCGCCUUUUAUCUGGACAUUGUGAGUUCUCCCGAUCAUGACGACGAAGCGAGUGAAGGGUAGCACUGAACUGGCAAAGAGAAUGAAUGAGAUUAUGGGGCUCCGGUUCCAUCGAUUUUGACUUCAUUUUACUUAAUAGAAAGAGGUUGCAAAAAAGGAAGAGAAUGGAUCCACUCAAAAAACUUUGUUCGGAAUCUAACUCAGAGAGGCAGUGUUGAGUCCAUGCAGACUCUAAAUUCGUCUAGCGCUUCAAACCAUAUUGGAUUACUAGAUAAAGAGCGAGUGAUCACCCAUGAGGAAAUGGGCAUUGUCUAAAUCCCUGUUUUAAGAAGUUGAAAGAACGUUUUCGCCGUAUCCUUUACAAGCUUUUACACGAAGCAAUGAAUGAGUUGCUCGACGGCAUUCAUCUGUCUUUUCAGUAAAGCGAGUCUUUCAAGUAAGCCCGCCUAACAUGAAAGUCAAGCCUUUCACUUCAUUGUUCAAGUCCUGCCUUCAGAGAAAAGGGUACAGGUCGGUUUGUUGUUUCGAAAGAUUCUCGCACACGAUUCAGUCUGCCUCUGUCAAAUAAAUAAAGUGGAUGGAGAGCCUUCUUAUCCUUUUAGGUCCGACCUCUCUCUUCCACUUUCCACCCCCCUAAGCUUUACUAAAAGGAGGGUCAUCAACACCGUCAGAACCUCGCAUUUGCGGCUAAGUGUCCCUCCGCGGUAAGGAAUUGAUUUUCUUUCUUUCCCUGCAGUGCUAUAGUGCGCUUGGACUCUAUCUCCGCUGUCUGGCUUUCAUGAAGAAAGAUUGAAAGCGUCCUCUUCGAGCGACUGCGUACCUCAUGUCAAAGAUGUUCGUGUACUUUAGAAUUCGAAAUAGGACUGUUAGCGCUGGUCUCUAGCCACCUAGAACUACCAGAGACUCGAUCCACCUCAGGAACAUUCAAAAGACUAAAGCCACCUGAAACUCACUGAUUGUCUCAUGCCACCUCGGAAGAGAAGACAUAUUCUCAGACAGAAAAGAAAGGACUUACCACUUGGCCACACUCAGAAGCCGGAGUCUGAGCUAGUAGCUAGCCUCAGGUAUAGAACUGGAGUUCUCUAUCAGGGAAUUCCAGGAGUGAAAUAGUAUGGUUUGAUAGAACCAGGUAGUAGUUGGUCGGAAAGGAAGAGAAAGAUACUCCAACGGACUCGGGCAAUCCCUUUACGAAUCAAAGGGAUUGGGCUGAUUGACCCCAGGUUCCGGGACGAUAAUCAGGUAAACAGUUGAAGUACCAAAGAGCGGUCCCAAGGGACGGAAUCAAGGAAGCAAACUAAGAGCCAAAGCUCUUAGCCUCCUAAUAUGAGGAUUCGUCUCACUAAAUGAGUUGAACUGAGUUCAACGAAUCCUCAGAUUCCUUAUAUGUUCAACUCAUUUCGAGUGACAAAUGUUCCUCAGAUUCCUCAUCUCUUGGGCUUUCUCCGGUUGACGUUGAAGCCAAAGAAACGGGGGGGAAGGGCACAAAACGUAGUUACCACACCCAUUCCCAUUCCAUUAUUGAUUCGAAUAGCUAAGCGAAGGCUUAAUUGAAUGGACGAGUAAGGGAAUACGAGCUCCUUCAUCUCCUUAUAUACGUCGCCAUGUUCGUUGACGGCCGAAUAAGAAGGGGGCCAAACAGCCACUUGACGGAAGUUUUAGGGGUGAGAGCAGACCCCGAAUAGGGUGAAGGGGAUGCCUCAUUGGCAGCCGAGAGCAGCCUAUUCUGUCUGUAGCAGCUUCUUCUUUCAAAGGCAAAGGCCUUUAUAGACUCGUACAAAGAAGAAAAUAAGUUCCAUGACAUGGCACUUGCGAGGGAGUUUAGUUCAUAACCUCGUAGGCCGGGAAUGCCAUCAAGAACCCUUUUCCUCUCGGUCUCAGUGUCAGCCAAGUUAGCAUCGGCUCCAUCAUUUGAAGCUUAUGACAUUGAUGAGUGAUCCAACAGUCUUGAGUGGCAGUUCUCCAAGGAGAAGGGAUCCCAGGUAGGAGAGCCAGCCGGGCCAGGGGAAAGAGGUAGUCAAAGACUACCCGGGAGUAGGUUCUGGAAUUUAUUCAGAGUUGCCACUCCUCAAUCUUCGAAAUUCCAGCGAUAGAGGACUUGAUACUUAUCUUCGACAAGCCUUGAUCUGUGCUGAAGACAGAUUCUCUUAUCGGCUGAGGAAAUAGGUAGCCACCCAUUCUUCCUUUCCGACCUUAGCUUAGCUGCUCACGCCAAUGCUCAUGGGUAUGGGGCAAUAACUGCUGCUACUGUUAUACUCCCACACUAUAAGAGACGGCUCAUCUUCUAUCUAAGACCUCCUCAAUGAGAGGAUGCCUGAAUGCUACUUUCGUCUACGUAUGGCUUAUAUUAUAUAAGCAAUCCUCCUUCUAUGGUCUUAGGCCCAGUUUCUUUCAACUAAGAUUUAUACUAAGCUUCCUCCCCCUGAAGCCUGAGUCAAAGAAUCCGUCGAUUCCAAUUCCACUAUAGGAAGUGCUGUUAUGAUCGAUUUUCCUUCUCCUCUUCAUUAAUAGCCUGGGAACUUAGAUUCUGAAUUAGAGUAUGGCAGGUCCGUCUUUGACCUUUGACCUUUGACCGGUUCGGGUUCGGGACUCGUUCUAUGACCGUACUCCUAUGUUUUGGGAGUCUGAGAAAGCUCUUCGUCCGCAUUCGCCAAGCCUAACAAGCCUUGGAAGUCGGCUAAGGCGCAAUGCUCCCUAUUUUCCGUGCUAGCUUUUGGGUCUGCUAGCGCUUCGAUGCUUUCGAUUCUUCUUUCCUAGGCUAUUUCGUACGUGUAAGCUUUCGAAGUCGUAUAUCGAAUGAGUGGAUAUUCCCACAUCCUCCCUUCAUGCUAAGACCACUUUGUGUACUGCGUCUUCUAUCGCUAUCUACGGUGAUUCUCCCGUCUAACCGGAGUGAGGACUCAGCAUGAAUAGCCGGACGCGAGAGAAAGACAAAAACAAGGCUUCUCGCGGCCCUAUCGAAUCCGUUCCCGAGUGAAGGUCACUUCACAAGUUGCCUUCUCUGGUCUUGCGGCGCACUCACUCCCUUUCCUUCCGCUCACUUCUGGACCCUUCGCUCCCGGUUAGUGCUCUUUGGCCCGGUCUAUUCUGUCUGAUAUGAUAUCAUAUAGCCAGGAAAAAGGGAUCUACUAGUCAUCGCCUUUGAGCUGGUAUUACCUGGAGUCGGCUAUUCCUGAUUCAGCAAAGGAAAGAAACCUUGAUCCCAAGACUAGCACUGACUCUAUUAUGAGACCUCCCUCUGUCGCAAUAGAAAUCGAGAAUGGAGGUGACUUCGCUACACUUGUUUAUAGUUGGAAAUUCCAACUCGAAGGCCCUAGUACUACUGACUUUGCACCAGAAACAAUUGAAGCCUUUUUUCGGCAUCCCUUCUCAGACGUCUUAUUCCUUGCCUUAGUAAUGUGCAAUCAGCUACUUGGCACCUUCCCUUAUUCUCCCUCCUUUCCCUUCCUUGCAAAGGUCUUAUAAGGCGAUGACCCUACUUACACGAUAUGAGAAUGGUUCGACACUUUCAACCCCAUAACCCACUUCCAAGACUUUAGGACUAACUGGAUUUCUUUCGACUUAGUUCUCUGUUCGUCUCGGGUACUCGCUCUGCUAAUUGGUAUGAUAACCAGUAAAGGGAAGGUACAUAGUCAUCUUUUCCAGAGCACCCUAAACCGUAACAGCAAGACCAACGGAUAUGACCAAAAAUUCCUUGUCACGAGCUUGGCUUUGGGGACAGUUUCACCGACCUAAGAACCAUUUCCUUUAGCAGCGGCGGAGGAUAUUAUAUAAAAGCAAAGAAGAGAGCGAAGCUCCUCUCCAACCAGUCAAGUGGCCCAAGGGCCACCUUUCCUGGAUUAGAAAGAAAGCUACUAACAGUACCGUGCAAUAUCUGGCCUAGUGCAAACCAUGGCAUACAUCAAACUACCAACUGCAUAAGAAUAAGGAACAAGAGACAUUUCCUUCUUCUCUUCAUCAGUUGAUGGACUUGACUUUUUCUUUAGCCUCUCGGCUUCGAGAAGCCGUGGGCCCAGUAGUGCUUUCUUAAAGCCUGUAACCCGCUCGACGUAAGAACCGAUCUCAAGCUGGAUGAGAAGGGAAAUAAAGACUAGUGAGAAUAGCCGUAAUUCAACUAGGCCUUGAAUCAGUGGUUUACAGAGACAAUUAGUCAUCUGCUUACGGCUAAUCUGCUCUUCGAAUCGUCAUCUUAGAAUAGGUUGGAACUAUUUCAAGAUGAUAGGCUUAUUCUGAAAGUACGCAUUUCUUGCUCUAAGUCCGCUGGGUUGGAUCGAACUAGUAGGUUUGGCAGGAAGAUAAUGGCAUAAAAGAAGCAUUCCACUUUUGGAAAGAGAAGAGUCAGUCUGAUUAUAGAUCCCUCUGUCUUGCAUUGGGUUAACUGGAGCUUAGAUAAAGCGAUAGGCAGAAGAGAGAGAAUUAGUCCGUCUUUAUAGACUGACUUUCCUCGCAUCAAAGCUUUCCGGUUCUCUUCCUUUAUGAAGAAAGGAAAGGCUUGUUAUCGACGAAGAAGAUCUUUAUACUGUUCAUCCUAAGAAAAGAAGUUUUCACUCGGUACAACUAUUCUAUGCUAGCAUAGCAUGCUUCUACUUAUGUUGUGUUGCAAAUUCCGGAUCAGGAACAAUCCUUUCUUAUUCGUUGAUGCCAGUCUAAAAAUCCGUACUUGUUGACUAAAUUUCGGCUUUCUAGCUUGAAGCUUAAGGGCUAAGGGAAAUUCAUCCUUGGAUCAAUGAAAUAGUUGAAUUAGCGUUGAUGCAAGAAGCAACCUCUUAUUGAAAUGACUUUAGGAAGUGCCUAACCUUUCUCCUUCGAUCCGAUCCUUUCUGUGACCCGAAAUGAACUUAUUGUCUCUUCGUCUCUUGCCUUUGAAUCGGAUAUUCCGAUGAAAGCGGAUUCUCUUUCCGUCCCUCGUCAUCGAGAGGAAGAAUCGCUAUCUAUCUAUCCAUAUACGUAUCAACAAAUGUGGUUCCAGGGAUCGGUCGAUUGCCCCUCACCAGCAGCUAGAGGAGGAGAAAGGAAUGAUGUCCCGGCCUGGGCUGGGCACCUAUCAGCCAACUAUUCCUUUUUGGAAUGGAAAGAAGAAAGGAUGGUCGUAGAUCACUGAUGUCGAAUUCACGAAAAAGAUCAUAUGUGAAAGAAUCGUCAGAUUAUGGGUUCCCGGAGUAGACGGAAUGGAGAAUGAAUGAAAUAGAAUAGUCUGGCAGAAUCGUAUGAUAGGGAAAGUGCGGAGCCUCCCACUUGUCUGGGUUACCGGGCUGGCUAACCUAACUAUGAAUUUCUAUCAAUGUCGGGAUAGACAGAGGUCUAGGAUAGUACGCUGUCGGAGUGAGACCGGGGUACAGUAACGAAGUUAGACCGAAAUGAACGACUCAAUUCCUCUAGAAGAAAGGAGAGAGAAAGAACAACCAAUUCUAUGAAACAAUAUCGUCAUUUACUAGAAUCGGUUGCUACUAGUCCGGGUUACCUCAGAGAUAGAGCCAUUAGGCGAGAAAAAACAACCUAGUUAGUGCACUAACUCAAACCUAGUUCUUGCACGAAAUGUCCUGCUAACAUAGGAGCACUCCUACUAAGAAAUGGAAGAGCAAAUUUCUUUCUGUUCGACGACACAAUGCCUCACCUGCCCUCUGCUACACAUCUCUUUCGUUCGCCCUAGACCCACCCACCAAAUGGAACUCUGCCCUUUUUGUUGGGUUAGAGCGAGUAUGAAGUCAGGGAGGAAGAAGAGGGAAGAAAUAAUAUAGUAAUAUUAACCUUUCCUUCGCUCUAUUCCCAAGUCCUGGGCUAAGCUGAGCUUCGAAGUCGGGCUUUCUUCCUAAUCUCAUCUACUGAAAAGGGGGCCGGGCGUAGCACGUUCUUUUUUGGGACACAUAGGCUAUUACAGACGCAUCAAAAAAGACUUUUCGAAGCGCGGAAUCCCAGAAUGGAAUCAUUGCAGAAGAAAGGUAUAAGGCUUGGGAACCGGAACAGGAUUAAGCCUUUAAGCAUGCAGAUGAGUGUUUGCUGUCAGCCCCAAUCCUUCGGUUUCCGGAUUGGAAUAAGGAGUUCCAUGUUCAUACUGACGCAUCACUCUAUGCCAUUGGAUGUAUGUUGGCGCAAGAAGGGCCGCUUGAUCACUCCAUCUACUUUGAAAGUAUACGACUUUCCGCUUGGGAAUUAUAAAACCACCGAACCUUCUUUAUCAUGAUUCGACCCAUACCUCAGACCUAAGAUCGAGCACCAGAGCUGCUCAUAACAACGUACCAAAAAGAAGAAUGCGAGAAGUUCAUAUUCUCCAGAUUCUACUAUAAACCAGGUAGUGAGGAUGAAAAAAAGCAUAAGCUACCUCGUUCGUGCUCCCGUCUUUCCCGCUGCCAUCUUCGGUGGAGUAACCAAGUUUUUCUUUCUCACUCCUUAUGUACUUUUUUUUACUUCAUCCAUACUUUUUGACUUUUUCUGAAGUGUGGGGCAAACGGCGCCCUCUACUUCUACUUCUAACUAAAGGCGAACAGCCGGCAUUGCAAGCAAAUAGAAAGCCCCCGCCCGUUUGAGCCGGAAAGCGUACCGGCUGUUUGAGUCGCAUCGCAAAAGGGCUGCUUUCUUAAUAUUAUUCUUAAUAUUAUUUAUAUAAUAAUAAUAAAUAAUCUAUAAACAAAAAGAAAAAGGGGAAAUCUUUUUUCUUCAAAAAUUCUUCAUUCCUGGGAAGAAGAAGAAGCAGAUAGGACAAAGGCCUUCUCUUUCCAUUCGCUCUACUCGAAGUGAGCGAAUUGCAUGUAGAGAUCCGUAGGGGCUUAUACUUUAAUUGGUUGAAACGUACCACUCAUAACGGUGAUAUUGUAGGUUCGAGCCCUACUAAGCCUAUCACCCCCUUCUUUUCACCUGAUACAAGGCAGUUAAAUACCCACCACCCUGCAGAUCUGAAUGAUGCGAUGGGAACCACACUGCUGCCAAUGCCCUUUGGGCAUGCCUCCUAUGAAUAUCACUCACCUACGCUCUUGGCGUAUGCCACCUUUGGGCAAUAUGGUGUAAUACGCAAAGCAGUUGAGCCAUAGCUCUUCGAUUGCUAUAUUCUUGCAAUAGAGAAGGUGUGGUUUAUCCUUUAAGAGAGAGUAAAUGUGAAGGUUCGGAUUGAAUAUCUUUACAAUACAUCCUUGGGGCACCAUAGUAUGUCGGGAAUAAGGGGGUCAUAGUGAACGUAACCACUCCCUUGGUUGGGGGCUAUGAAUCCCCUAUCCUUUUAAUUUUUUGAUUCCCAGGUCUUUUUUAUUAUAACUGUUGGAAUAUUUUUGUUGACGACUUAGUCAGGGUGGUUCACUAUUUCUUUGUUGAAGGCGUUGUUAAGCCCUAACGUUUGAAUUCCAAUUUCAUUGCCCUGACAAAACUUUAUGAUCCCCACUUCCAGAAAAAAACUGAAAAGAUGGGGCGGUCGGGGACUUGAAUGAAUGUUAUUAGUCGUGAAUUUGAACUUUUUGGUAUUCUUUUGAUAUAUUUGCAAGAACAUUCUAUGGUUUUAAUAAGAGGAGGUAGAGUGAAAGAUUUUUUGGCUAAAUAAUAAUUUGGUUAUGCCCAGCCCACUAAUGGGGGGCGGUGGCUAAUCCGUACACGCAGUGGGAGGUGACAGCCAGAAAUGAGAUUUGGGGAACAAAGUCAAUUGAUGCGCUCUUAAAGGGAGAAGACAGGAGCUUUGCGCUUAGAGAAGUCCCUUGGCCGGACAGAGCGCAUCUUCUUUUGCUCAUUUUUCAGGGCCUUGCCAUGUUGGCCUACCAAAUAAACAGGAUUUUUUUGAUUGAUGAGCUUAUGGGUCAUUAACUAAAGACCUUAAAGUCGUGACCCAUGAGAUAGCUGAGGAAAGCGAUAUCGCGCGUAGACAUCAAGCCGUAGCGCGUGAACCAGCAACCCCUCUUUAUGAUGCUUUCCACUUUUUUAAGAGGAUUCAGUUAUUGAGUCGGUGAGCUAAUCUCACCUUUUCUCUAGACAUUGUGAGUUAUUUCGAUCAUGACAAUGAAGCAAGUAAAGUGUAGCACUGAACUAGCAAAAAGAAUUAAUGAGAUUAUGGGGCUUCGGUUCCAUCAAUUUUGACUUUAUUUUACUUAAUAGAAAGAGGUUGCAAAAAAGGAAGAGAAUGGAUCCACUGAAAAAACUUUGUUUGGAAUCUAACUCAGAGAGGCAGUAUUGAGUCCAUACAGACUCUAAAUUCGUCUAGCGCUGCAAACCAUAUUGGAUUACUAGAUAAAGAGCUAGUGAUCACCCAUGAGGAAAUGGGCAUUGUCUAAAUCCCUAUUUUAAGAAGUUAAAAGAACGUUUUCACUAUAUCCUUUACAAGCUUUUACACGAAGCAAUGAAUGGGUUGCUCGACGGCAUUCAUCUAUCUUUUCAGUAAAGAGAGUCUUUCAAGUAAGCCCGCCUAACAUGAAAGUCAAGCCUUUCACUUUAUUGUUCAAGUCCUGCCUUUAGAGAAAAGGGUAAAGGUCGGUUUGUUGUUUUGAAAGAUUCUCGCACAUGAUUCAGUUUGCCUUUGUCAAAUAAAUAAAGUGGAUGGAGAGCCUUCUUAUCCUUUUAGGUUUGACCUCUCUCUCCCACUUUCCACCCCCUAAGCUUUACUAAAAAAAGGGUUAUCAAUACCGUCAGAACCUUGCAUUUGUGGGUAAGUGCCCCUCCGCGGUAAGGAAUUGACUUUUUUUCUUUCUCUGCAGUGUUAUAGUAUGCUUGGACUCUAUCUCUGUUGUCUGGCUUUCAUGAAGAAAGAUUGAAAGUGUCUUCUUUGAGCGACUGCGUACCUCAUGUCAAAGAUGUUUGUGUACUUUAGAAUUCAAAAUAGGACUAUUAGCACUGGUCUCUAGCCACCUAGAACUACCAGAGACUCGAUCCAUCUCAGGAACAUUCAAAAUACUAAAGCCACCUGAAACUCACUGAUUGUCUCAUGCCACCUCGGAAGAUAAGACAUAUUCUCAGAUAGAAAAGAAAGGACUUACCACUUGGCCACACUCAGAAGCCAGAG